GUCUCUUCCCCUGGGGGGACGCAGGGGGGCUGUGCAUUCCUGCCCAGUGCCAGCACUCAACCGCUUGUCCCAGUGCCACCUCCAGGCUCACGCUCCAUUGAUUUCCCCUGGCAUGGUGCCAAGGGGACACAAAGUGACCCCAUCACAGCCACCUCCUCUGCCCCGUCCCCACAUCCCCCCCUCCCUGGACGAGGUCCCAUGUGAUUCGCCAAGGAUACUGCCACGUUGUGGGACAGCUUCAGGUUGGUGGAGAUGGCCGACAAGUUGGGGCAGAAGCUGGAAAGGCAGAGAAGGAGGUGGAGGGGGUUGACGGGGCUGCUCGGGGACCACGGGGCUCCCGCUCGCCCUGGGGACUGUCCCCUCCUCUGCGGGGCCACUCACAACUUCUCUGCUGUCACACCGAGGAUGAUGAACAGCCUCCACCCAAUCCCGGCUAUGGGAAGGCGCCGGCCUGGCAGGCGGCGAGGUUUUAGGAGGAGAAAACCAGCAGCGGAGGAAAUCCUGGCCAAAUUUGGGUGCUUGCCGCGUGCCCCUGUGCUCCCCUCUUGGCUUCUGCACCCACGAGUGGCCGCGUCCGGGUGCCCGGGGUGGUCUCACACAGCGCUGAGCACAGGAGC